GAUGAAGAACGCAGCGAAAUGCGAUACGUAAUGUGAAUUGCAGAAUUCAGUGAAUCAUCGAGUCUUUGAACGCACAUUGCGCCCCCUGGUAUUCCGGGGGGCAUGCCUGUCCGAGCGUCAUUGCUGCCCUCAAGCCCGGCUUGUGUGUUGGGCCUCGUCCCCCCUCCGCGGGGGACGGGCCCGAAAGGCAGCGGCGGCACCGUGUCCGGUCCUCGAGCGUAUGGGGCUUUGUCACCCGCUCUGUAGGCCCGGCCGGCGCCUUAGCCGACGACACAAUCUUUUUUUUCAGGUUGACCUCGGAUCAGGUAGGGAUACCCGCUGAACUUAAGCAUAUCAAUAAGCGGAGGA
rnacentral:misc_RNA from 1 species